GCACAGAGAGAUGGACACAGGUUUCUUCAGGAAGGAAGAGAUUCUUUAUUGGAUCACCGAUCGGGACUCAGAGGGACUAAUGUCACCAAAAAUACAGCAAGUUCUGAGCCCUGAACAAUAGUGCAGGCUCCCUAUAUAGGCACAUAACUCCUCCCAUAUUAAGCUCCACCCGCACAUUCUCUUGACCAAUCAUUACAAAUAAGAAUUAACUUCCUGCUUGACCGCAUGGCUUGUCC